GCGGGGACCUCGGAGGGAGCCCGGCGGCUUCGGCCACCUGUCCCCACAGAUGCUGCAGGUGACAUGAGCUCUCCAGAUGGGCCCAGCUUCCCGUCGGGGCUGCUCUCAGGGGGCGCCUCUCCCAGCGGCGACGAGGGCUUCUUCCCCUUUGUGCUGGAGCGGCGGGACUCAUUCCUGGGAGGGGGCCCAGGGCCUGAGGAGCCCGAGGACCUAGCCUUGCAGCUGCAGCAGAAGGAGAAAGACCUGCUAUUGGCCGCGGAGCUCGGCAAGAUGCUUCUGGAGCGAAAUGAAGAGCUGCGGCGGCAGCUGGAGAUGCUGAGCGCCCAGCACUUGGAGCGUGAGGAACGGCUCCAGCAGGAGAACCACGAGCUCCGGCGAGGCCUGGCAGCCCGAGGAGCCGAGUGGGAGGCCAGGGCCGUGGAGCUGGAAGGGGACGUGGAGGCCCUGCGGGCCCAGCUUGGGGAGCAGCGCUCGGAGCAGCAGGACAGUGGGCGAGAACGGGCACGGGCCCUCAGCGAGCUCAGCGAGCAGAACCUCCGGCUCAGCCAGCAGCUGGCUCAGGCCUCCCAGACUGAACAGGAACUUCAGAGGGAACUGGACACCCUUCGGGGACAGUGCCAGGCUCAGGCACUGGCUGGGGCAGAGCUGAGGACGCGGCUGGAGAGUCUGCAGGGGGAAGUGAGUGUCAGCUGGGGCUGGCGGAUUAUCUGAGCCAAAAAAGCCGGGCUGGGGGCGGGGAGGGGGCUGCCCCCCUCCCCAGCUCUCAGGCCUUUCCCCAGAACCAGAUGCUGCAGAGCCGCCGGCAGGACCUGGAGGCCCAGAUCCGAGGCCUGCGUGAGGAGGUGGAGAAGGGCCAGGGCAGACUGCAGACCACCCAUGAGGAGUUGCUGCUGCUGAGGCGGGAGCGGCGGGAGCACAGCCUGGAGGUGACCUGCACGACUGGGGGACUACAACUGCCUGGACACUUAGCAAUGGCUUCAGGGCUUUCUGGGAGAUGAGGCCAGAGCUGGAUCACUGGGAGGCCCAGAGGCUGGCCCACAAGAACAUGGGCAUUAGCCCAUGGGCAAGUGGGAGCUACGGAAGGCUGUUGAGCAGGGGAGGCAUGCUCUUAGAGUGCAUCAGAAGAUGGAAGAGCAGGAAGCUGGAAGCUGAAAGAGCAGGGAGGGGGCUGAUGCCAGAGCUCAGGCCAGGAAUGACAGCCCCUAGACCAUGGCUGGGCAAUGGAGAUGGAGAAAAAGAAAUGAAAAGAGAACGCAAGGUCUGAUGUUAGAGAUCAAAGGAGUCUGCACUUUGGGGUCAGCUUGCCUGCCUUCGCAUCCCAGUGUCCCUUCUUACUACUGUGGGACAAACAGCCUCAGUAGCACCAAUAAAUGCUGCAUCAAACAAUUACUGAAUGAGGAGAUAGACUGGGCAGGGG
rnacentral:sRNA from 1 species